rnacentral:sRNA from 1 species
UUUUACCCUUGUCCGUCUGUCUGUCUUUCUGUUCACAUCUAAAAUUUCUGUCGCAUUUUUCUCAGCAACUUUUGAUCACCGAUGCUGGAAAUUUAACACACUUUUUGUUUAGGCAUGCCAUUUUUGUUCCAAUCAAAGGUCAAUUUCCUGUUAAAUGACGAAUUUGUUUACUUUUAGCCUAAAAUUUUAAACAAAAUUCUGUCAAAGAUUUCUCAGCAACUACAUGUAUUUAUUGCACAUAUUUGAAACUUUAACACACUCUUUGUUAAGCAUACCAUAUGAUGGGAUCCAUUUUUGUACCAAUUGGAUAUCAAAUUUCUGUAAAAUGACAACUUUUUUUUUCCAGCCUAAAUAUUCAGACUUUUUAUCAAAAUUUUCUUAGCAACUAUUCAUCGCAGAUGUUUGAAAUUGUAACACUCUUUAUUUAGGGAUGCUAUUUGGGUGGAUCUAUUAUUGCAUCAAUCGGAAGUCAACUUCCUGUUAAAUGAUGACUCAGCUUAUUUUGUAUAUUUACAUCAGAACAGGGGUAUUUCUAGUGAGCAUUGGCUCACAUAUCUCUUGUUUUUUCUGUACUAAAAUGUAUCAUAAUUCUUUUCAUUUUAAUAUGUGGACACUUGUCAAUAUUUGUUAAAUUAAUUUAUUUGAAACUCAUGCAAUUACCAAUAGAAAUAAAUGGAGC